rnacentral:tRNA from 1 species
CCCGUAGCUCAGCGGUCAGAGCGGUCGGCUCAUAACCGAUUGGUCGCAGGUUCGAUCCCUGCCGGGCC